AGACUCAUGAUCAUGAUGUCAAUCGUACCUUAGCAGCACGUAAAUAUUGGUGUUAAGAUUCUGUAAAUAUCUCCAGUAUUAACUGUGCUGCUGAAGUAAGUUUGGCCUGUCUGCAAAUGAGUCAU
rnacentral:precursor_RNA from 14 species